rnacentral:rRNA from 1 species
AGAGUUUGAUCAUGGCUCAGAUUGAACGCUGGCGGCAGGCCUAACACAUGCAAGUCGAGCGGUAGAGAGGUGCUUGCACCUCUUGAGAGCGGCGGACGGGUGAGUAAUGCCUAGGAAUCUGCCUGGUAGUGGGGGAUAACGUCCGGAAACGGACGCUAAUACCGCAUACGUCCUACGGGAGAAAGCAGGGGACCUUCGGGCCUUGCGCUAUCAGAUGAGCCUAGGUCGGAUUAGCUAGUUGGUGAGGUAAAGGCUCACCAAGGCGACGAUCCGUAACUGGUCUGAGAGGAUGAUCAGUCACACUGGAACUGAGACACGGUCCAGACUCCUACGGGAGGCAGCAGUGGGGAAUAUUGGACAAUGGGCGAAAGCCUGAUCCAGCCAUGCCGCGUGUGUGAAGAAGGUCUUCGGAUUGUAAAGCACUUUCAAUGGGGAGGAACACCUGUCGGUCAAUACCCGGCAGCUUGACAUUACCCAUAGAAGAAGCACCGGCUAACUCCGUGCCAGCAGCCGCGGUAAUACGGAGGGUGCAAGCGUUAAUCGGAAUUACUGGGCGUAAAGCGUGCGUAGGUGGUUCGUUAAGUCAGAUGUGAAAGCCCUGGGCUCAACCUGGGAACGGCAUUUGAAACUGGCGGACUAGAGUUUAGUAGAGGGGAGUGGAAUUUCAGGUGUAGCGGUGAAAUGCGUAGAUAUCUGAAGGAACACCAGUGGCGAAGGCGACUCCCUGGACUAGAACUGACGCUGAGGUACGAAAGCGUGGGUAGCAAACAGGAUUAGAUACCCUGGUAGUCC